ensembl:ncRNA F08C6.12 ncRNA
UAAAGAAAGAAAGCAGAUGAGAUAGGAAAAAUUGACAUCAACGCGGAAAAGGAAAAGAGCGCAGGGUGGAAAAGAGAGGAAAACGAUAUUUGGUAUACGGUGUCAGUAUCAUUUCCUUGA